ACUUAAAUAGCUUAUUUAGAGCAUAAUAUUGAAGAUAUUAAGGAAAUUUAUAAUUUUUAAGUA
rnacentral:tRNA from 1 species